rnacentral:rRNA from 1 species
CUCAGAUUGAACGCUGGCGGCAUGCCUUACACAUGCAAGUCGAACGGCAGCACGGGAGCUUGCUCCUGGUGGCGAGUGGCGAACGGGUGAGUAAUACAUCGGAACGUACCCUGAAGUGGGGGAUAACGUAGCGAAAGUUACGCUAAUACCGCAUAUUCUGUGAGCAGGAAAGAGGGGGGAUCGCAAGACCUCUUGCUUUAGGAGCGGCCGAUGUCGGAUUAGCUAGUUGGUGAGGUAAAGGCUCACCAAGGCGACGAUCCGUAGCGGGUCUGAGAGGAUGAUCCGCCACACUGGGACUGAGACACGGCCCAGACUCCUACGGGAGGCAGCAGUGGGGAAUUUUGGACAAUGGGCGCAAGCCUGAUCCAGCCAUGCCGCGUGAGUGAAGAAGGCCUUCGGGUUGUAAAGCUCUUUCGGUGGGGAAGAAAUUGCACAGGAUAAUACCUUGUGUAGAUGACGGUACCCGCAUAAGAAGCACCGGCUAACUACGUG